CGUGGGGUGCAAGCGUUAUCCGGAUUUAUUGGGCGUAAAGAGUUCGUAGGCGGUCUAUUAAGUUCUGUUUGAAAUCUCGAGGCUCAACCUCGAAACUGGAUAGAACACUAGUAGGCUCGAGUCUGUUAGGGGGUACUGGAACUCACGGUGUAGCAGUGAAAUGCGUUGAUAUCGUGAGGAACACCAAGGGCGAAGGCAGGUACCUGGGACAUGACUGACGCUGAGGAACGAAAGCUAGGGGAGCGAAAGGGAUUAGAGACCCCUGUAGUCCUAGCCGUAAACUAUGUCCGCUUGAUCUUCCAACCUCUGGUUGGAGGGUCGUAGCUAACGCGUGAAGCGGACCGCCUGGGGAGUACGGCCGCAAGGCUA
rnacentral:rRNA from 1 species